UCGGUAAGCUACCAAGGGCAUACGGUGGAUGCCUUGGCACGCGGAGGCGAUGAAGGACGCGGCUACCGGCGAAACGCCCCGGGAAGGUGGAAGCAACCUGUGAUCCGGGGGUCUCCGAAUGGGGCAACCCGACAGGCUUCAUCGCCUGUCGCCCGAAAGGGCGCCAACCCAGGGAAGUGAAACAUCUCAGUACCUGGAGGAAAAGAAAUCAACCGAGAUUCCCCUAGUAGUGGCGAGCGAACGGGGAAGAGCCCAAACCGGUUCCCAUGUGGAGCCGGGGUUGUAGGACCCGCACACGACCCCAAGCACGAUAGCAGAAUGGUCUGGAAAGGCCAGCCACAGAAGGUGAUAGCCCUGUACGCGAAAUCGUGCGGACGGUCGCGGUGUUCCUGAGUAGCGCGGGGCACGUGAAACCCUGCGUGAAGCUGGGGGGACCACCCUCCAAGGCUAAAUACUCCUGCGUGACCGAUAGUGCACCAGUACCGUGAGGGAAAGGUGAAAAGAACCCUUCAGAAGGGAGUGAAAUAGAACCUGAAACCGUAUGCCUACAAACGGUCGGAGCUCGUUCUUCGGAACGAGUGACGGCGUGCCUUUUGCUUAAUGAGCCAACGAGUUGCUCGUCCCAUGCGAGGAUAAGGGUGUCGAACACCCGCAUCCGUAGCGAAAGCGAGUCUGAAAAGGGCGCCACAGUAUGGGGCGGCAAACGCGAAACCGGGUGAUCUACCCAUGGCCAGGGUGAAGUGUGGGUAACACCACAUGGAGGCCCGAACCGGUGUGGGUUGAAAACCGCUCGGAUGAGCUGUGGGUAGGGGUGAAAGGCCAAUCAAACUCGGUAAUAGCUCGUACUCCCCGAAAUGUUUUUAGGAACAGCCUCGUGUAGGUAUGCCGGAGGUAGGGCUCUGAUUGGGCUAGGGCUGUCACAACGGUACCGACCCCAGAUAAACUGCAAAUUCCGGCCAUACAACGCACGGGAGUGAGGCGGCGAGGGAUAAGCUUCGUCGCCGAGAGGGAAACAACCCAGACCGCCAGCUAAGGUCCCCAAGUGAACGCUAACAGAGAAAGGAUGUUUCGCUGCCCAGACAGCCAGGAUGUUAGCUUAGAAGCAGCUAUCAUUCAAAGAGUGCGUAAUAGCUCACUGGUCGAGCGGCGAAGCGCCGACAAUUCUCGGGACUGCAAGCGUUCCACCGAAGCUGCGGACUCUGCCCCUCGGGGCGGAGUGGUAGGGGAGCAUUCUGCACUGCGUCGAAGGUGCACCGCGAGGUGUGCUGGAGCGUGCAGAAGAGCAAAUGUUGGCAUAAGUAGCGACAACGAAGGUGAGAAUCCUUCGCGCCGAAAGUCUAAGGGUUCCUGAGCUACGUUCGUCGUCUCAGGGUUAGUCGGCCCCUAAGGCCAGGCCAAACGGCGUAACCGAUGGGAAGCAGGUGACUUGCAAUAUUCCUGCACCACCAAAGGCGUCCAGCACGGUGACGCAGACGCGAGGUCCGGCGGAGCUCCUGGCAAUCUCCGUCGGGCGUAGCACGCUGCCGAGAAACAGCCGUGUGUAUCGCCGCGGUGACCGUACCGCAAACCGACACAGGUAGACGGGUUGAGUAUACUCAGGCGCGCGUGUGAGCCGUGGCUAAGGAACUCGGCAAAUUAGCCCCGUAACUUCGGGAGAAGGGGCGCUCCCGCGAGGGAGCCGCAGUGAAAGGGCCCAAGCGACUGUUUAUCAAAAACACAGCACUCUGCGAACUCGUCAAGAGGACGUAUAGGGUGUGACACCUGCCCGGUGCCGGAAGGUUAAAGGGAGGGGUCAGCCGAAAGGCGAAGCUCCGAACUGAAGCCCCGGUAAACGGCGGCCGUAACUAUAACGGUCCUAAGGUAGCGAAAUUCCUUGUCGGGUAAGUUCCGACCUGCACGAAUGGUGUAACGACUUUGGGCACUGUCUCGGCCACGGGCUCGGCGAACUUGUGGUACCGGUGAAGACGCCGGUUUCCCGCACAUGGACGGAAAGACCCUGUGCACCUUUACUACAGCCUACUAUUGGGUCUGACUGCAACAUGCGUAGGAUAGGUGGGAGGCGACGAAGCGGGGCUUGCGGGUCCCGCAGAGCCGACGGUGAAAUACCACCCUUGUUGCAGCUGGAUUCUAACCCGGCGGAGUGGAUCCGCGGGGACAGUGGUAGGUGGGUAGUUUGACUGGGGCGGUCGCCUCCUAAAUGGUAACGGAGGCUCGCAAAGGUACCCUCAGCACGGUCGGUAAUCGUGCGUAGAGUGCAAAGGCACAAGGGUGCUUGACUGUGAGGCAGACAUGCCGAACAGGUGCGAAAGCAGGCCUUAGUGAUCCGGCGGUUCCGCGUGGAAGGGCCGUCGCUCAAAGGAUAAAAGGUACGCCAGGGAUAACAGGCUGAUCUUGCCCAAGAGUCCACAUCGACGGCAAGGUUUGGCACCUCGAUGUCGGUUCAUCGCAUCCUGGGGCUGGAGAAGGUCCCAAGGGUUUGGCUGUUCGCCAAUUAAAGCGGUACGUGAACUGGGUUCAGACCGUCGUGAGACAGGUCGGUCCCUAUCCUGUGCGGGCGUAGGAUACUUGCGGGGUCUCGCUCUUAGUACGAGAGGACCGGAGUGACUGGACCGACGGUGUACCUGUUGUCGCGCCAGCGGCAGCGCAGGGUAGCCAUGUCCAGAAAGGAUAAGCGCUGAAAGCAUCUCAAGCGCGAAACCUGCCCCAAGAUGAGGUAUCCCAUGGC
rnacentral:rRNA from 1 species